UUGCAAGCUUCGUUGCGUUCGCACGCCUUUUUCUGGCUCCCGUUGUCUCGCGUUCCGUCGUUGCUCUGGUGCCCUGGACUGCUGUGAAUGUGUUUUUAUGCCCUACUAGUGUUGCCUGGGGGUGCUUUUAUGUGUGCACCCUGGAAGAUAGGUCCAGAAGCCUUGCGAUUUCUUAGAUUAAAGCUAAGUGUACUCGUGACCCUACCAGCACUUUUCAAGAUACUUUCGACGUAUUCAUUGCGGUGAACAACGCGGUUGGGACAGCACACUCACGACGUGGGAAGGUCACAGAAAUGUUGAAAGACAUCAGAUGUGUGGAAACGUCGUAGCGGAUGAAUGUGAAUUAUGGAUCUCCAAGUGGCGUCCCCCGCGUCAUUUUCAAGAUUUUACCCGUUUUGAAGGUACGUAGUGAAUGUGCGAGGCAUUCACGUUCCUACUACGUGGUUAUCCAUGCGUUUCCCGUCUUCGCAGGCAAUAGGGCUGUUGAUAGGGAGAAUGCUAGGCUACUGCAGACUGCAACCAUAGGCGCUGUGUCUAAAGGUUAAGCUCACAUGACGCGGCAGGGAAGGGAGUCCGUGGCGAAAAGUGAAUAUAGCCGAAGUUGGAUAGCGUUAAUUUUUGCGCACGAAAGGCAAGCUGGACACAUCGCAAAUCUCCAGUUGUACGAAACACAGUGCAGCAUGGUCGUCGGUUAUGCCAGUGCUUCAACAUAUGUUUCGGCGUCGCACUUCGGACAUUGCGGGCGUAUACCUUUAAGUUUUUCCCCUUGUGGACCGAUGCUGUGUGUGUGCAUGGACAUCAUGUUCUCAAUAAU